UGCAAGUCGAACGGUAACAGGAAGCAGCUUGCUGCUUUGCUGACGAGUGGCGGACGGGUGAGUAAUGUCUGGGAAACUGCCUGAUGGAGGGGGAUAACUACUGGAAACGGUAGCUAAUACCGCAUAACGUCGCAAGACCAAAGAGGGGGACCUUCGGGCCUCUUGCCAUCGGAUGUGCCCAGAUGGGAUUAGCUAGUAGGUGGGGUAACGGCUCACCUAGGCGACGAUCCCUAGCUGGUCUGAGAGGAUGACCAGCCACACUGGAACUGAGACACGGUCCAGACUCCUACGGGAGGCAGCAGUGGGGAAUAUUGCACAAUGGGCGCAAGCCUGAUGCAGCCAUGCCGCGUGUAUGAAGAAGGCCUUCGGGUUGUAAAGUACUUUCAGCGGGGAGGAAGGCGAUAAGGUUAAUAACCUUGUCGAUUGACGUUACCCGCAGAAGAAGCACCGGCUAACUCCGUGCCAGCAGCCGCGGUAAUACGGAGGGUGCAAGCGUUAAUCGGAAUUACUGGGCGUAAAGCGCACGCAGGCGGUCUGUCAAGUCGGAUGUGAAAUCCCCGGGCUCAACCUGGGAACUGCAUUCGAAACUGGCAGGCUAGAGUCUUGUAGAGGGGGGUAGAAUUCCAGGUGUAGCGGUGAAAUGCGUAUAGAUCUGGAGGAAUACCGGUGGCGAAGGCGUCUUCCCUGGACAAAGACUGACGCUCAGGUGCGAAAGC
rnacentral:rRNA from 1 species